GAUGAAGAACGCAGCGAAAUGCGAUACUUGGUGUGAAUUGCAGAAUCGCGUGAACCAUCGAGUCUUUGAACGCAAGUUGCGCCUCAAGCCAUUAGGUUGAGGGCACGUCUGCCUGGGCGUCACAUAUCGUUGCCUGAUGCCAGUUUCCUCGUGAUGGGUGACUGUGCAGGGCGAAUGAUGGCUUCCCGUGAGCAUUGUUGCCUCAUGGUUGGUUGAAAAUUGAGUCCUUGGUAGGGAGCGCCGUGAUAGAUGGUGGUUGAGUGACGAACGAGACCCAAUCAUGUGAGACCCCUACCGAAUUUGGCCUUCAUGACCCACAUGCGUCUUUGGAACGCUCAUGACGAGACCUCAGGUCAGGCGGGGCUACCCGCUGAGUUUAAGCAUAUCAAUAAGCGGAGGA
rnacentral:misc_RNA from 1 species